ensembl:lncRNA
CACUGUUUAUACAACUGGAGAUGUCCUCACACCAAAAUGUCCGUAGCAGUCUCUAUCCCAGUCAUUUGGCAAACAGCACCAAACCCCCUCUUAAAACAACCUCGGAUCAUUUGGCAUCGGCAUCAUCGUCCAGCCCCGCCUCUGCAGCUCCAGCUCCAUAAAAACCCCGAGAGCGACUCUCCUUCAUUUAUUCGCUCCCCUCCGGAGGAUAACGACUCAUCCCAGGCGUCCAUCUCUCGGAGAUUUUCCAAAACAGGACUAUUUGGGAAUAUCGCCCAGCAAAAAAGAGAAAUGAAUUCUGUGUGCGUUGCCGCUCCUCUUUCCAGUGCAAUGAACACUGACAUCCAGCAGUCUAGCAGCCCAGCUUCCCUGUGGAGACCGUGGCUCAUGACAAGAAAGGAUGCACAAACUGAAUGCCGCAGAACCAAGUUGGCUUGUGUAAGUUUUUUUUCCACCACUGCAAUUCUAAUAUUUCAGUAUAGAAUUUCCAUCUGUAGGCUAUAGGAAUGUUAUUAAGCUCAGAAAACACAUGGAACCGUUAUGAACUCCUGUACUUAGUGCUAUUUAUUAGGCUGCGGGUUAAUUCAACUUAACAGCACAGAAAAUUUCAAUUGUUUGUGUGGCAUAUAGGUUUUUUUAGAGCAGCAGGUAGCUUUAAGGUGACAGACAGGCGUUAGGCAGCAGAUUGUGUGACUGUGGAGGUGUUUCACUGACACCAAGCUAUUCAGUGACGCAAAGGCAGACUGAGCAGCUCUAGCGCUGAGACACUUAGCCAUAUGGCACCACUGUCUGAGUGUGAACACUGAGUCUGUGCCCAGAGACGAGGUGUAGGAGAAAACAGCUCGCAGAGAGCAAGCGAUCCCUUGCCAAGAUUUUAGCAGACACCUCUAGGUUUGGGAAAGGGAGUUGGAGCCAGGUUCCCACAAACACUUUAGCCUGACACCCUCCAUGUCAUAGCUUUUGCAUCCUGCCCAGGGUGUUUUACACCCACGAAGCUGGCAGUGAUAUCACCUCAUA